GGCUGUGUGGUCUAGUGGUAUGAUUCUCGCUUUGGGUGCGUGAGAUCUCGAGUUCGAUUCUCCAAUCAGCCC